rnacentral:rRNA from 1 species
UACAGAGGUCUCAAGCGUUGUUCGGAUUCAUUGGGCGUAAAGGGUGCGUAGGUGGCGCGGUAAGUCGGGUGUGAAAUUUCGGAGCUUAACUCCGAAACUGCAUUCGAUACUGCCGUGCUUGAGGACUGGAGAGGAGACUGGAAUUUACGGUGUAGCGGUGAAAUGCGUAGAGAUCGUAAGGAAGACCAGUGGCGAAGGCGGGUCUCUGGACAGUUCCUGACGCUGAGGCACGAAGGCCAGGGGAGCAAACGGG